rnacentral:sRNA from 1 species
AUCAACCGAACACAACGAUCUGUGGCCAGCGAUCCUGAGCAUGGAGCAGCUCUUCUUCCGGGAGGAGCUGUCUUCGUGUCUCGGUUGAUUGCUGGUCAGUUCGACGACUUAGGGAGCCAUCACUUUUCGAAUGGUGUCUAUUUCCGGUCGACAGAUCUAAGAUCGAAUGCUGGUGUCGGGUAUCACUUAGUCUUGAGCUCCCUUUUCUUUCGGGAAUUGGUGAGCUCGGCUGGAGGGCCUGGCGCCGGCGGCGUCAUAUUCCUGAUCCCUUCACCGAUUUGGCCGUCGGCUCGUGAGGUUGGGGAAAAACCAUGACCAGCCAACAUAC